AAUGUCAUCCGUGCCAUCUCAUAGUGGCAACAUUAAUCAACAUAAACAUCUAUUGCUUAAGAUAUAUAUGUCUUAACAAUUUACAUCAAGGUACAUAUGUUCCACGAAAAGGACUCUAGACUUCCAACGGAGAGACCAAAGUGAAGGUGUAGCUACUGAAUGCCAUUGAUACCUACCAAAAGAUGGACAAACGUGGACACAUCAAUCUAGGUCCCAAUUGCCUCCUGAUUUGAAAACAUGAAUUUGAAAAAGGUGAGUAUAAACACAGUGAGUGAACAUAAGAAGGUAACAAGCAAUCAAUAAGGAGAACUUGGAAAUCAUGAUGCAUUUGUUUCAAAAACAAUGCAAUUGAUUUAAUUUCUUACUAAAAACCCCUCAUUUCAAACUUUGAUUAAUAACCUCAUAGUGUUGCAGAAACCCAUGAUCAAUCCAUGAAGUUAAAUGGGUGAAAAAUAUGUCAAAAUCAAGCAAGGUAGCAAGCAUGAUAGCAAGUUUCUCGCUGCAGCAAGAAACAAUCUCAAUUUGCAUAUGUUUUGGUUUUCUAGCAUAUCUCCCACUACAGAGUCUAAUUGACAUGAUUUUUGGACCAUUAAAAAUCUAAGAGGCUGGGCUACAACUUUUAUGUUUACUAAUUUGCCCAAUUCUGAUUGGAAGGUGGUAAAAGUCUUUAUCAAAGUGAAAGCACUGCACCAGAACCCAAGAGUUUCUCGCUGUACUGAAAAGCUUCAGCAAAUUUCUCACUACAGUGAGAAUACAUUCUCCCUGCAGCGAGAACUUAGCAAGUGUAACCCCCCCCCAACACGAGAGUUUCUCACUGCAGCGAAAAUGAAUUUCACUGCAGUGAGAAACACAGAAAUUUGGUUAAAAGGGGUUUUGUUACAUCAAAAGCCAUUUUCUUGUUUAAUGAAAAGCAAUUUGGGAGCAAUUAACAAUGCCAGCAUGCAACACAAUCACAAAUAUUUCCAUAACUUUCUAUAACACACACACAUAUAUAUAUAUAUAUACACAUACAUCAUCAUGCAUACCGUCCCACCACACUCAACUCAAUGCAAUAUCAUCGUCAUUUGUGCAAUCCCUACUCACUCACUUCAACAUCAUCAUGUGUACACUCCUUACUCGCACACUUUAACAUCAUCAUGUGUGCACUCCCUACUCGCACACUUCAACAUCAUCACACAACAUUAUUGAUCAAUGCACAACAUAUAUUGAUAUAUAUAUAUAUACAUACGAACAUAAUAUAGGAGCACAUGGAUUCAUCCUUUUACACAUUUCACAUUUUCACAACAUCAAAACAUUUUAUCAAGGGCUUGUUCCCCGGCACACAUUUUUACAGAAAGGUUGGAUAAAAUCAUUCAAAUGUUUCGUCCAAAUACAUUUACAUUUCCCAAAGAAAUUUUGAAAUGCAAGUUCACUCACCAGUCUUUAUUGAUGUUUUGGUGGGCUCUAACUUCGACUAAGGUUCCGAAUGGAGGUGUGGGGUUUCGUUGGAACCUAUCACACACAACAACAUCACCAUCAACCCAACUUGACAUUAAUACUAUUCCAAAGCUAUUUUCUAAAUUGAGUUCUACUAGUCAUUCCUAACUAGCUUCCAACUACCAUUAAAUGGCUAUUAUUUGCACUACUCUAGUCGCACUAAAAAUUAUUAAACAAUCUCAACAAUAAAACACUCACAAAUAAAAUUACUAGACAUUAUCAACAACUAACAAUCAACUCUAAUUCACUACUCACCUUGGUAGCUUUGUAAAUAAAAUUCUUUCAAAAAAAUUUCAAGCUAUUAUAGAAGCUCCCUAUUUCUCUCUCUAAAACACCUAGCUAGUGAGAGGAAGUAUGAAAAUAAGACUUUUCAAAGGUUUUAAAGUGAGAGAGUGAAAUAACACAAAAGGUUCUAUGAAAGGGUUCACAAAAGCAUGAAAAUUGGAGCUAGCUUGAGGGAAGUUAUGGAGGUUUCAAAACAAGCUUCCAUGGAGGAUGAAAGCAACGUGAGAUGGGAGGAAGAAGAAGAAGAAGCUGUUGGAGAAAUGGAGAAGCUGUUGGAACAAAUGAUGUUUAUAGCUACAGCUUAUCCAAUCUCUUCUUAAAUUAUGAAAAUGCCCUUAACAAGUUGGCUUGUCCUCCUCCAAUCCUUGGUGCAAUCAUUUUACUCAUUUGACACUGGGACAACGUCCAUAAUAGUCUAGAAAUACUGGAGUUCAUGAAAACUUAAAAUUUUUACCCAAGAUGAAAAAUGACCAUUUUGCCCAUACCUUGGAAAUCAUCAUUAUUUCUAUUUCCUUUGUCAUUUUGUUCUUAUUUUCAUCAUUCAUUUAUGCCUUAGACCUACUUUAGGCCUUAAUUUUGUUUGAAAGCAUACUUCUAGGGGCUCACUAAGGAAAUGACGAAAUUACCCCUAGUUAGUGAUAUCGCGUCUACUUCGAGCUACGCGUCUAUAAAGAUCAAGGUCUCACAAUUAUGAAUAUAGUAUGUGGUUGUAAUGUAUGUGGAAUCUUGCAUGUUGAACCUUGAAAUUUUGCUAAGUAUUUUCAAAUUGAAUUGUAUUGCAGCAAAUGGCUUCUUUUUUGUUAUGAAAAGAAACUCUUCCUUCGUUGUUCUGAUUCUCGCUACAGCGAGCAUGAUUCUCGCUACAGCCAGAAACUCUCGACUUUACGAGGUUGGCCACGGUUCUGCUUCUCACAGCAGCAAAAUGUCUCGAAGGGUUUUCGCUGCAACGAGAAUGAUUCUCGCCGCAACGAAAAACUCUAAGGUUUUUACCACCCGAAUCUCACUACAGUAAGAAUUCAUUCUCACUACAGUGAGAAACCUCCUGUCAAGCUUGCUACCUUGCUUGGUUUCUGCCAUAUUUUCUACUUCUUUAACAUCGUAGUUGAUCAUGGAUUUUCAACAUCAAGUGAUUAAACAACUAAGAGGUUUAAAUGAGGUGUUUUAUAAGAAUAAAACUAAAUUGCAUCAUUUUUGAAUAUAAGUGUAUCAUGGUUUUAAAUGUUCCUUAUCGCUCGCUUGUUCCUUUCUUAUGUUCACUCACUAGGUUUAUACUCACUGUUUUCAACUUCAUGUUUUCAGAUCAAGAGGCAGUUGGAACCUAGGUCGAGGUGACCACGUAGAUUCGUCUCUUUCGUAGGUAUCUCGGCAUUCAAUAGUUGUAACAUACAGUAAUUUUUAUCCAAAAUCUUUGUUGUUUUGGAUCGUGAAAACAUAAUUUUUAUGAACUUUUUUCAUACUAAAUCAAGUUUGGCUAAAACAUACAGUAAGUUAAUUUAAUCAAACUAAUUUUUAAUAAUUAAAACUUGCAAAUAACACUUAUCCAACGUUAUAGUCUCCAAAACACCUCAAAACUAUUCAGUUUUAACUUUACUUUGCUAGCCUUUUAAUCCAUUCAUUAAUUCUUCACUUAAGCAUGAUUUUAAACCUUUUAAAAUAUGUUUUAGUGAAUUAAACACAUGUUGUCCAGAUUUGACUUCAAGUGGAAAAUCAAAUUUUAAAAAAUUCUUUCAACCGAUAUAUACCAAAUUAAUGCAUAAAUCAAUCCUAUUGAUUAUCACCAAGAAUCAAGAAUGCAAAUUACAUGAAAACAUCAAACAAAGGCUUUGAUACCACUAUUGGGAUUUGACCUCAUGCUCAAACAUGAAAUUAAUCAUGAAAUUAAUUAUAUAACGUAGCAGAAAAGUAAAACUAGAUUUUAAUCAAAGAAAUAGUCAAAUCUCGCAGGAUCAAUGUUGGUGUUCUUCAUGUAAUUUUCAAAUUACUUAUGAACAUUCAUAAGUUUAAGAUGUCAAGAGUCGAUUAAAUCCAAAAACUCUUGUGAUGAAGCAAGUAACCUAAAAAAAGAAUAAGAUGGUCUAAAAUCCUACAGUCAAAAUCUUUACUUCUUCACUUUUAGGAUUUGUCAAAACUUCAACCACCCAAGUGUUUGGCCUUUAACAGUAUUCCACACAAUGACCAAAUAAGACCUUCUCAAAAGUAGGAUUUUACUUCUGCUAACAAGUUUUUUUUCUAAAAUAAAAAGACCAAAAUUUCUUACCGAAUCUUAUUUCUGUUAGACAAAGAAAACUAUUUUUCUUUUCUUAUUUUGAGGAAAUGACUAAAAAGUGACUAAAGGCAUGGAGUUUUAGUUGGCUAACAUAAUAUAUUUAUAUAGCCAAACUAAGUUGUAACCAUAGAUACAAUAGCUAUAUUUUAAUUCAAUUAAGUCCUUGUAAACGUAAUUAAUUUCUCACUUUAUGUUGGUCUAUUCCAAUUAAGUCCAACUUAAUUGAUUAUUCUUAUUUAUUCCCAAUCAUGUCACUUAAUGUGUGUGACUAUUAGGCUUCUAACAUGUUGGCAAUAAAUAUAAAUCCUAAUCAAAUAUCAAUUAGAUAAUUAAUUUAUAUUUAUAGAUCACGAACAGCAUCUAGUAAUACAUCAUGAUCACCUAAAUGUUAAAGAUUCAAUUAAACAAUUUGACAAAGCCCUUCAGUGAUAAACCUCUCAAUGCAAUAUGGUCCUUUCAUCAAAUAUCCCAGAUAUGUCAAUAUCUACCUAUGACAUUCCAUAUUAGUUCUCCUAAUUCAUGACUAACCUUGCGAAUUUAGGAAACUAAUUUUCCUCAAAUUCAUCAUGUUUUGGCCUAAGACUUUGUACAAGUUAAUCAAGAAUUGAGAACAAGUGAGAUACAUCCCCUCAUAUCACUUGGGGUGAUGAAUCCUCUCUUGACCACUCAUCCACCUUCGAAUGCUUCAUGGCAUGCCCAAAAACACCUUGUUUAGGCAUCUAUUUGCCUCCAGACUUGUAAAGGUGAAAUCAAAGUAUGCCAUUCCCCAUACAUGAUGACCUAGUGCCUCAAGUCUAAGGACUAGUUGCACGACUAUCAAAUGAGAACAUAUUCCAUAGACACUUGAGUGAAAUACCAAAUGGAGUUCUUAUAGCAGGUCAUCUUCAGUGAACUUGCUCUUUAACAAGUACCCACAUGUUAUCCUCAAGUAUCCCAUAUACUUGAAUUUAUGAGAUGGAUUGCUUGGUUCCUAAGUAAGGAGGCUUAACAUGUACCAGUCCUUGAGCAUUUUCAAUUCUCUGUCUUAACAAUACAAUGACAAGGAUCAGUUUUAGGAACAUGGCUUUAAUGUAUAGUGAUCUCAUACUUGUAACAUCCCAUAACCUCGUAUAGGAACCAAUAAGACCUUAUCGAUAAGACGAAGGGUCAAUUGAUGUAAAUUUAAGUACCAAAGAAUGGUGAUUGGUGAAAUGAAAAUUUUGGAAUAAAAUAUUUCACACGCGAGAAAGUAAUAAGUAAAUAAUAAUAUUUUUAUUAAGGAUGAAUUAGUGAGUUAAAAGGUGAUUUGGAAGUAAACUAGGGCCAAGUGAGACACUUUGAGACCUGAGGAGACAAAUGGAAAAUUUUGAAAUAAAAUAAUAUUAAAAUAUUAAUAUUUUAUCUGUUGUCGAAAUUAGUCAUGAAAGAGGAUUAUAUGGCUAAUCUAAGUGGGGGAGAAGAAAUAAGAAAGAAUUUUGAAGAAAAAAUGACAUAAGUGGGGCUCACGUGCCUUUAUUUAAUGAAGCAAGAGCGAGUAAGUAUAUAUUUAAUUAUUAUGGUGACACCUUGGUAAAAUGUAAAUUUUAUAUUAUAUUUGUACAAGUGUAAAGUAAGAAAGAUAAAAGAAAAUUUGUAAUCAAAGAAAUGAUUGAAGGACCUAAUUGCAGAAGAUGAAAAGUAUAGAUGGUCGAUGGUGAAUAAGGAAAAGUCGAGGACUUAUGUGCAAUUACAAUAUUUGAAGCUAAAUGUAAAAUUAACUAACCAAGGAAACUUAGAUUAUAUGGGAUAAUGAAAUGUGCAUGUAAAUUCACUAUUACAUGCAAAUAAUAGCAAGUAAAAAGGAGAAAGUUAGUGGGGAACAUGUAGGACCCCCACCAUGUGAAAUAAAAGAAAUGAUAGGCCUAAAUCUAUUUGCAUGUAAAGAGAUAGGUCCAUUAAAUGGCCAAAUAAGGAAAGGAAAAUAUGGAUGCAUGAGACUUGAAUAGUUUAAUAAAUGACCAAAUAAAAUAUAAAGUGAAUGUCACGACCCAGUACUCCCCUCGAACCAGUGACAACCGCCUCGGUGUCCCGAUCGACACUCAUUAGUCGGAAUGCCAACCGAAACCCUGCAAGGCUUUAAUAUCAGUUUCCCAUUUCCUCUGUGAGUAACCAUUGCCAAAUAUCAUGUUCUAAAAGAUUUUAAGCUAUUUCCAACUUAAAUCAAUAAAAAAAAUGAUUUUUUUCUCAUAGGGGCAUUUUGGUCAUUUUUCUUCAAAAAUCUCGAAACCAGCUAAAAAUGUAGUAUGCAAGUGGAAAACACAUAUUUCAUAAUCAAAAAUAAGUUUAGAUAUCUAAAACAUUCAUUUAAAGUGAAAUUAUAACUAUUUGAAUAUAAUAAAAAUAUUCAAUAAAAUAUUCUAUUUUCUUAUAAAAUAAUAUUUAUAGAGUUACCGGUAAAUAAUUUUUGUAUCGUAAAAGCUAAAUAAAUUCAUACAUACUGUAAUACAGAUAACCAAAGUAUAAAAUUUAAUUUACAGUGACACGUGGGCCCACGAACGACCAAAAGUAUCAAAAGCGGUAAACUUAUAAUUUUUUAGGAUGCAAGUCCAAUUGUAGCCCUCAACAAAGUGAGCUAUCUACUGACUAUUCUGAGCUUGAAAUGGGUAGAAAGGAGGGUGGUGAGAUUAUAUAAUCCCAGUGAGUAAACAAUACCAUAUAAAAUAUCUAAAGCUAAGUAAAUGGAGACAGAUAAAAUAGAUGAGCAUAAAAAUGAUUCUCAACAUUUCGAACUCAUUUUAAUAAGAUAAAAUAGAUUCAUUUCACCAAAAUAAACAACGAGGCUUAUGAUUUCCUAAAAAGUUUGGCUCGCGCCAAAAUCAUUCUCAUACUCAGUUAUCAAGAAUACCUUGGCCGAUGGCUAUCCCAACCGAGUCCGCCAAGGCUAUUAAAAAGUUAUGUACGCAUAAAUCAUCUUUUUAUUUUGAAACAUAGCCAUUCCUUGACGUUGGCUGAGUUCACCCUCACGUGGUGGUUUGGCAUGAAGUAAACUCUAAAGUUUUAACCUCAGGAGUUAUCCAACCGCGCCUCUCAUAUUGAGGUAUGAAUAUAAUAGGGUUACAGUGCCCCUUUAAUAGGUUGGUCCGCGAAACCCGUCCACUACAGCAAUCGAUUUAUAACCCACCAAUUCAAUAAAAUUCAACAGCAUGACUUGGCAAUUAUUUUAUUUUACAACCUCUCAAGGCAAAUUAACAGUUCAUACAUUUUCAACACAUUUACCAAUUCAACCAUUCAUGCCAAUAUUAUCAUAAGCCAUUUAAUUCAAACCAUGAUUUAUAACACAACAAUUAGUCUCCAAUUACUCCAUUUUCAAAACAAUCUUUCAAUUUCAAGACAAUUUUAUAAAAUCAUUUCAUUUUAUCUUAUUUUGCUUAUAAAACAUAAAGAUUUACCAUUAAACUCAUUUUUCUUUCAAAUCACAAAAAUGAAUAAAAACUACUUUAGAUAAUUAAGACAAUAAUAAAGUUACUCACUGUAAUGGGAAUUGAAUUUCAAGUACUCCGAUUCUUGAUCCUCGGGUACUAUCUCUUUACUUUUGCCAAAAUGCUCACCACCUAGACAUAAUGCACAAUAAGCCAUCUACUACAUUUGUGCUAAAUUGUUAUAAAACCAAUUCAGGCUCUAUACUAAUGCAUGAAAUGGGAUGUAAAUUAUUCAGAUUAUCGUCCAAACACGGUGUUCUACACAAAUUCAAUUAUGUACCUAAAUAAAACGGUAUUGGCCUAAUUCGAUCUAUCACUUGAUUAAUUGGCCAAUAUGUCCAACUCAACUCCAAUAAUUCCAUUUUUCUCUCAAUACUUCAAAUCACCAAACACAAGUCAAAUAACAUAAAAUUUAGCAAAACCAUCCUCACAUUUCUUCUUGAGAAUUUCGGCCACUGUGAGUGCAUCAACACUAUGAUUUUUCCUACUUGAUUUUCUCACCAUAAUUCAUCAUUUCCUAACCAAUUUACUUGAAAUAAAAUCAAAUCCACCAUCAACACUCUACAAGGAAGAUUCUGCCAAUGAUGAACUCAUGAGGAAUAUGUGAAUUUCAAGCUUAAUUCUUACACUUAACACCAUAAAUAACUAAAAACAUCCAUAUGUCUUAAAAAUCUAUCUACAUCAUCAUCAAAUUCUCUCUCCUAGAGUUUGAUCAGCACACUAUCCUUCAUGAUAUCCUGUGAUUCAACUAUGGAAAAUGCAAAAUAAUGCAUAGGAAAGAUGGAUCACAAGCUAGAGUUAUGAAAUUUCACCUUUGAUGGCUUGAUUACUUGAAAUCCACCAAUUUUCUCUUGAAUUUUCACUCUAGGGUUUUUGUUCUUCUUUUCUUCCUUUGUUAUUGCUAUGGUCGGCCA
rnacentral:lncRNA from 1 species